AGAGUUUGAUCAUGGCUCAGGAUGAACGCUGGCGGUAUGCCUUAUACAUGCAAGUCGUACGAGAGUUUUUAACUCUAGUGGCGGACGGGUGAGUAACACGUAAGAAUUUGCCUUUAGGAGGGGGACAACAACUGGAAACGGUUGCUAAUACCCCAUAUGCUUUCGAGUGAAAUGGAUUUCCGCCUAAAGAGAAGCUUGCGGCUGAUUAGCUUGUUGGUAGGGUAAUGGCCUACCAAGGCGACGAUCAGUAUCUGGUUUGAGAGGACGAUCAGACACACUGGAACUGAGACACGGUCCAGACUCCUACGGGAGGCAGCAGUAGGGAAUUUUCCGCAAUGGGCGAAAGCCUGACGGAGCAAUACCGCGUGAGGGAUGACUGCCUAUGGGUUGUAAACCUCUUUUUUCAGGGAGGAAUAAAUGACGUGUACCUGAAGAAUAAGCAUCGGCUAACUCCGUGCCAGCAGCCGCGGUAAGACGGAGGAUGCAAGUGUUAUCCGGAAUCACUGGGCGUAAAGCGUCUGUAGGUGGCUCGACAAGUCAACUGUUAAAUCUUGAAGCUCAACUUCGAAAUCGCAGUCGAAACUAUCGAACUAGAGUAUAGUAGAGGUAAAGGGAAUUUCCAGUGGAGCGGUGAAAUGCGUAGAGAUUGGAAAGAACACCGAUGGCGAAGGCACUUUACUGGGCUAUUACUGACACUCAGAGACGAAAGCUAGGGUAGCAAAUGGGAUUAGAUACCCCAGUAGUCCUAG
rnacentral:rRNA from 1 species